rnacentral:tRNA from 3 species
GGCCCGUUGGUCAAGCGGUUAAGACACCGCCCUUUCACGGCGGUAACACAGGUUCGAAUCCCGUACGGGUCA